rnacentral:rRNA from 1 species
GGAAUAUUGCACAAUGGGCGCAAGCCUGAUGCAGCGACGCCGCGUGGGGGAUGACGGCCUUCGGGUUGUAAACUCCUUUCGUCAGGGACGAAGCUUUGUGACGGUACCUGGAUAAGAAGCACCGGCUAACUACGUGCCAGCAGCCGCGGUAAUACGUAGGGUGCGAGCGUUGUCCGGAAUUACUGGGCGUAAAGAGCUCGUAGGUGGUUUGUCGCGUCGUUUGUGUAAGUCCACGGCUUAACUGCGGGCGUGCAGGCGAUACGGGCAUAACUUGAGUGCUGUAGGGGAGACUGGAAUUCCUGGUGUAGCGGUGAAAUGCGCAGAUAUCAGGAGGAACACCGAUGGCGAAGGCAGGUCUCUGGGCAGUAACUGACGCUGAGGAGCGAAAGCAUGGGUAGCGAACAG